CGGGCUGUGGCGCAGCAUGGCAGCGCGCUUGACUGGGGGUCAAGAGGUCGCCGGUUCAAAUCCGGCCAGCCCGA
rnacentral:tRNA from 2 species